AAUCAACGCUGGCGGCGUGCCUAACACAUGCAAGUCGAACGCGACUGGGGCUUCGGCCUCAGUUGAGUGGCGAACGGGUGAGUAACACGUGGGUGACCUACCUUCGAAUGGGGGAUAACGUCCCGAAAGGGACGCUAAUACCGCAUAACAUCCUGCCUUUGAACAGGCGGAGAUCAAAGCCGGGGAUCGCAAGACCUGGCGUUUGAAGAGGGGCCUGCGUCCGAUUAGCUAGUUGGUGAGGUAACGGCUCACCAAGGCGACGAUCAGUAGCUGGUCUGAGAGGACGACCAGCCACACUGGGACUGAGACACGGCCCAGACUCCUACGGGAGGCAGCAGUGGGGAAUUUUGGACAAUGGGCGCAAGCCUGAUCCAGCCAUGCCGCGUGCGGGAAGAAGGCC
rnacentral:rRNA from 1 species